CGUGGUGAGUAACGCGUGAGGAACCUGCCUUCCAGAGGGGGACAACAGUUGGAAACGACUGCUAAUACCGCGUGACACAUUUGAAUCGCAUGGUUUGAAUGUCAAAGAUUUAUCGCUGGAAGAUGGCCUCGCGUCUGAUUAGCUAGUAGGCGGGGUAACGGCCCACCUAGGCGACGAUCAGUAGCCGGACUGAGAGGUUGACCGGCCACAUUGGGACUGAGAUACGGCCCAGACUCCUACGGAAGGCAGCAG
rnacentral:rRNA from 1 species